rnacentral:rRNA from 1 species
AGCUCCAAUAGCGUAUAUUAAAGUUGUUGCGGUUAAAAAGCUCGUAGUUGGAUUUCUGUCGGUGAGUGGGAGUCCGCCCUCAGUGGUGGGUACUUUUCACGCCACCGGCAUCUUCCUGGGGACUGUGUCUGCUCUUCGUUGAGUGGCGCAUAAUCCAGGACUUUUACUUGAAGAAAUAGGAGUGUUUCAAGCAGGCAAUCGCCAUGAACACGUUAGCAUGGAAUAAUAGCAUCGGACCUCGUUCCAAAGCUGUUGGUUCUUGGGA